AUUGAACGCUGGCGGCAGGCCUAACACAUGCAAGUCGAGCGGCAGCGGGAAAGUAGCUUGCUACUUUUGCCGGCGAGCGGCGGACGGGUGAGUAAUGCCUGGGGAUCUGCCCAGUCGAGGGGGAUAACUACUGGAAACGGUAGCUAAUACCGCAUACGCCCUACGGGGGAAAGCAGGGGACCUUCGGGCCUUGCGCGAUUGGAUGAACCCAGGUGGGAUUAGCUAGUUGGUGAGGUAAUGGCUCACCAAGGCGACGAUCCCUAGCUGGUCUGAGAGGAUGAUCAGCCACACUGGAACUGAGACACGGUCCAGACUCCUACGGGAGGCAGCAGGGGGGAAUAUUGCACAAUGGGGGAAACCCUGAUGCAGCCAUGCCGCGUGUGUGAAGAAGGCCUUCGGGUUGUAAAGCACUUUCAGCGAGGAGGAAAGGUUGGUAGCUAAUAACUGCCAGCUGUGACGUUACUCGCAGAAGAAGCACCGGCUAACUCCGGGCCAGCAGCCGCCGUAACAC
rnacentral:rRNA from 1 species